AUGGUACAGAAGAAGAACUCCCAGCCCAACAAGUUCAAAAACAAUAAGAACAAAACUCAGGGCAAAGGCAAGUUUGAUACAAAGAACAAGCCAUCACAUUCUACCAACUUCAAGAAGAAUUCUCAUAAGAAGGGGAAGGGACUUUUCCAUGUCUGUGGUGAUCCUAAUCACUGGGCUUCGAAGUGUCCUAACCACUUUGAGGAGCGCGAACAUGAGAAGAGCGGCAAGUCCGCUAAUGUUGUCAUCGGUGAUACUGAUAUGAAGGAAUCAGGGUACGGGAUUUUUCCUACCAUCCUUUCAGUAUUUCAAUCCCCUGAUUGGUUAAUUGACACCGGUGCCAAUGUACAUGUUUGUGCUGACGCCUCCAUGUUUUCUUCUUACCAGGCAACAGGGACUUCACCCGUGCUAAUGGGGAACGGGUCACAUGCCAUCGUUCGAGGUGUUGGUACGGUCGAUCUGAAGUUUACUUCGGGAAAGACUGUGCGUCUGAAGAACAUUCAUCAUGUGCCGUCCAUCAAUAAAAAAUCUCGUUAG
rnacentral:rRNA from 1 species